GUGCCAGCAGCCGCGGUAAUACGUAGGUGGCAAGCGUUGUCCGGAUUUAUUGGGUGUAAAGGGAGCGCAGGUGGUUUCUUAAGUCUGAUGUGAAAGCCCACGGCUUAACCGUGGAGGGUCAUUGGAAACUGGGAAACUUGAGUACAGAAGAGGAAUGUGGAACUCCAUGUGUAGCGGUGGAAUGCGUAGAUAUAUGGAAGAACACCGGUGGCGAAGGCGACAUUCUGGUCUGUUACUGACACUGAGGCUCGAAAGCGUAGGGAGCAAACAGGAUUAGAAACCCCGGUAGUCC
rnacentral:rRNA from 1 species